rnacentral:rRNA from 1 species
UACAGAGGGGGCAAGCGUUAUUCGGAAUUAUUGGGCGUAAAGGGUGCGUAGGUGGCGUGGCAAGUCAGAUGUGAAAGCCCGGGGCUCAACCCCGGAACUGCAUCCGAUACUGCCAUGCUAGAGUACUGAAGGGGUGACUAGAAUUCUCGGUGUAGCAGUGAAAUGCGUAGAUAUCGAGAGGAAUACCAAAGGCGAAGGCAGGUCACUGGGCAGUUACUGACACUGAGGCACGAAGGCCAGGGGAGCAAACGGG